UACGGAGGGUGCAAGCGUUAUCCGGAUUCACUGGGUUUAAAGGGUGCGUAGGUGGCUUUGUAAGUCAGUGGUGAAAUGCCGCAGCUCAACUGCGGAACUGCCAUUGAUACUGCUUAGCUUGAAUCACGUCGAGGUGGAUGGAAUAUUACAUGUAGCGGUGAAAUGCUUAGAUAUGUUUUAGAACACCGAUUGCGAAGGCAGCUCACUAAGCCAAUAUUGACGCUGAGGCACGAAAGCGUGGGUAGCAAACAGG
rnacentral:rRNA from 1 species